rnacentral:rRNA from 1 species
AACGAACGCUGGCGGCAUGCCUAACACAUGCAAGUCGAACGAGACCUUCGGGUCUAGUGGCGCACGGGUGCGUAACGCGUGGGAACCUGCCCUUAGGUUCGGAAUAACUCCCCGAAAGGGGUGCUAAUACCGGAUAAUGUCUUCGGACCAAAGAUUUAUCGCCUUUGGAUGGGCCCGCGUUGGAUUAGCUGGUUGGUAGGGUAAAAGCCUACCAAGGCGACGAUCCAUAGCUGGUCUGAGAGGAUGAUCAGCCACACUGGGACUGGGACACGGCCCAGACUCCUACGGGAGGCAGGAGUGGGGAAUAUUGGACAAUGGGCGAAGGCCUGAUCCAGCAAUGCCGCGUGAGUGAUGAAGGCCUUAGGGUUGUAAAGCUCUUUUACCCGGGAUGAUAAUGACAGUACCGGGAGAAUAAGCUCCGGCUAACUCCGUG